AUGGAGAGGCUCCUUCAUUGGGACUUCUCCCUGGGUUUGGAGAUUGAAUCUCACGUACGUGACAAGUUCAGAUCCACGGUGCACUUCUCGUUGACUCAUCCCGGAUCUUCUGAGGAAUUCUACCUGGUUGUUUCUUUCUCCUCGGCAUCCUUUCCAUUGACGGAGGAAUCGGUAGCUCUUGCCCUACAAUCUUGCAUUGGUGGUAUCAGUUCGGGUUUUAGGGUUUUGCGGUUAAGUGAUCGCCGUUUUCGGUUCUCUGUGGCUUCUAAUCAAGUGGGACAUUUUAUCUAUGGCCUUAAGGAUUGGAUUUGGCCGGAUUUUGUUUGUCAUUUUCACCUCUUUCGUGGUGAGAUUAAUUCAGCUUUUGAUCAUCCGGAUAAUGGUUGGCACGCGGAUUGUCAUCUUUCUGGGGUGGGGAUUAGAUCUGUAGCUAUUAAAUCUAAAUGGCUACAAGAUCAGCAAGACAAGAUUGUUCAAUCCACCUCGCAGGAGAUGAACUCUGAGAGAGAUCUGAUCACCAAUGACAUCUCCUUUGGAAAGUUUCAAUUUUCGAUUAUUUCGGAUCCUAUUUCUCAAAUUUGA
rnacentral:rRNA from 1 species